AUUGAACGCUGGCGGCAUGCCUUACACAUGCAAGUCGAACGGUAACAGGUCUUCGGAUGCUGACGAGUGGCGAACGGGUGAGUAAUACAUCGGAACGUGCCUAGUAGUGGGGGAUAACUACUCGAAAGAGUGGCUAAUACCGCAUGAGAUCUACGGAUGAAAGCAGGGGAUCGCAAGACCUUGUGCUACUAGAGCGGCCGAUGGCAGAUUAGGUAGUUGGUGGGAUAAAAGCUUACCAAGCCGACGAUCUGUAGCUGGUCUGAGAGGACGAUCAGCCACACUGGGACUGAGACACGGUCCAGACUCCUACGGGAGGCAGCAGUGGGGAAUUUUGGACAAUGGACGCAAGUCUGAUCCAGCCAUUCCGCGUGCAGGAUGAAGGCCCUCGGGUUGUAAACUGCUUUUGUACGGAACGAAAAGGUCUCUCUUAAUACGGGGGGCUCAUGACGGUACCGUAAGAAUAAGCACCGGCUAACUACGUGCCAGCAGCCGCAGUAA
rnacentral:rRNA from 1 species